GGGAGGGUUGCAGAGCGGUCAAAUGCAACGGACUGUAAAUCCGUCGUCUCAGACUUCGAUGGUUCGAAUCCAUCCCCUCCCACCA
rnacentral:tRNA from 1 species